AAGCUUAGGUUAAUUAAACCAAGGGCCUUCAAAGCCCUUAAUAUGGACACACAUCCCUAGUUUUUG
rnacentral:tRNA from 1 species